rnacentral:rRNA from 1 species
GAUGAACGCUGGCGGCGUGCCUAAUACAUGCAAGUCGAACGAAACUUCUUUAUCACCGAGUGCUUGCACUCACCGAUAAAGAGUUGAGUGGCGAACGGGUGAGUAACACGUGGGCAACCUGCCCAAAAGAGGGGGAUAACACUUGGAAACAGGUGCUAAUACCGCAUAACCAUAGUUACCGCAUGGUAACUAUGUAAAAGGUGGCUAUACUACCGCUUUUGGAUGGGCCCGCGGCGGAUUAGCUAGUUGGUAGGGUAAAGGCUUACCAAGGCAAUGAUGCGUAGCCGAAUUGAGAGGUUGAUCGGCCACAUUGGAACUGAGACACGGCCCAGACUCCUACGGGAGGCAGCAGUAGGGAAUCUUCCACAAUGGGCGAAAGCCUGAUGGAGCAACGCCGCGUGGGUGAAGAAGGUCUUCGGAUCGUAAAGCCCUGUUGUUAGGGAAGAAAGUGCGUGAGAGUAACUGUUCACGUUUCGACGGUAUCUAACCAGAAAGCCACUGCUAACUACGUG